AUGACAAGCAGUAUUUGUUGUUCGACAAGAGGAAAAUCCAUUUCAGUACAAGCUGGAAAGAACAGUUUGCACACACAGUUAAGGUGCCAAGACAAACACCCUUCCAGUUCAAACCCCUUCCUCCUCAACUCCUCGACAAAACCUUUUGUCCUAGUUCAAACCCCCUAUAAACCAAAAAUGUUCACCAGUGCUAAUGUUUGGUGUUCUACUACUACACCAUUCCCAAGCUCCCAACUAUCUAAGCACGGCGAUGUGACCCCAAACAGAAAUCUGAAGUGGGUGAAUGGAAUGAUAAACAUUAAUCAUGUGCAUUUCACUAUAGGCUGCAUCGUGCGUACAUUUGAAACAAAUCAUGUGCAUAAUAACUAA
rnacentral:rRNA from 1 species